rnacentral:rRNA from 1 species
GGGAGACCGCCUGGGAAUACCAGGUGCUGUAAGCGUUUUC